UACGUAGGGGGCAAGCGUUGUUCGGAUUUACUGGGCGUAAAGGGCGCGUAGGCGGCGCGUAAAGUCGUACAUGAAAUCAUUGGGCUUAACCCGAUGGCUGUGCCCGAUACUUGCGUACUUAGAGUGCGGGAGAUGCAAUCGGAAUUCUCGGUGUAGCGGUGAAAUGCGUAGAUAUCGAGAGGAACUCCGGUGACGAAGGUGGGUUGCUGGACCGACACUGACGCUGACGCGCGAAAGCUCGGGGAGCAAACGGG
rnacentral:rRNA from 1 species